CCUACGGGAGGCAGCAGUGGGGAAUAUUGGACAAUGGGGGCAACCCUGAUCCAGCCAUGCCGCGUGUGUGAAGAAGGCCCUCGGGUUGUAAAGCACUUUCAGUGAGGAAGAACGCCUGGUGGUUAAUACCCAUCAGGAAAGACAUCACUCACAGAAGAAGCACCGGCUAACUCCGUGCCAGCAGCCGCGGUAAUACGGAGGGUGCGAGCGUUAAUCGGAAUUACUGGGCGUAAAGCGCGCGUAGGUGGCUUGAUAAGCCGGUUGUGAAAGCCCCGGACUCAACCUGGGAACGGCAUCCGGAACUGUCAAGCUAGAGUGCAGGAGAGGAAGGUAGAAUUCCCGGUGUAGCGGUGAAAUGCGUAGAGAUCGGGAGGAAUACCAGUGGCGAAGGCGGCCUUCUGGACUGACACUGACACUGAGGUGCGAAAGCGUGGGUAGCAAACAGGAUUAGAUACCCGAGUAGUC
rnacentral:rRNA from 1 species